rnacentral:rRNA from 1 species
AUUGAACGCUAGCGGCAUGCCUUACACAUGCAAGUCGAACGGCAGCACGGGGGCAACCCUGGUGGCGAGUGGCGAACGGGUGAGUAAUGCAUCGGAACGUGCCCAUCGGAUGGGGGAUAACUGCGCGAAAGCGUUGCUAAUACCGCAUACGACCUACGGGUGAAAGCAGGGGACCGCAAGGCCUUGCGUCGAUGGAGCGGCCGAUGCCGGAUUAGCUAGUUGGUGAGGUAAAGGCUUACCAAGGCGACGAUCCCGUAGCUGGUCUGAGAGGACGACCAGCCACACUGGGACUGAGACACGGCCCAGACUCCUACGGGAGGCAGCAGUGGGGAAUCUUGGACAAUGGGCGCAAGCCUGAUCCAGCAAUGCCGCGUGUGGGAAGAAGGCCUUCGGGUUGUAAACCACUUUUGGCAGGAAAGAAAUCGUCCGGGUUAAUACCCUGGAUGGAUGACGGUACCUGCAGAAUAAGCACCGGCUAACUACGUG